ensembl:lncRNA
UUUUUUUUCUGGUUUUAUGUGGUCUGUUUAUAACAUGGAAGAAUCAAACCUGCUGUGAUACUGUGUUCAUUCAUCUGUUGUUUAUAACUGGCUCAGUGUAACUGCUAAACAUCGAACUGUAAUACAGUUUGGUUAUUCACUAAUCUACAUUAAAACAUUGUGUAGUUUAGUUCCUGUGGUGUUCUUUAGAUAAAGGACUGUUGUGGUCUUAAUGAACGUUGGUCCAACAGUGAGAUGAACUACAGUAUGGAAAUGUGUUGGUUUCAGGUUCUUCAGUCUUCCCUGCUGGUGUUGUUAUCCGGAUUAUGGGAAUACUGCUCCUGCUGACACUCUGCUUCUCUGGAAUCUUCAUCUGGAGGAGAAAAUAUAAAGAGCUGUACUGACAUGCAGCUUUAGAAAGAAUU